rnacentral:sRNA from 1 species
CCAUAACCUUCAUGCAUGACUAGAUUGACCUAGGAACAUGGCCCAAUAAAGAAGGACCAAUAAUUUAAAGGCAACAAUUAUGAAAAGAAUAGGCUAUUAAAGAAAUGGGGUCAUACUCAGAAAACAAAAGACCUAGAUUAGAAAUCAGUCAGAAAGAGAUGCUAACAUGCAAUAAAGAAGAGAGUGAGCUGUGAAAACAAGGUACCUCAUCCUAUGGAUCAUUCUGCAAAAGACUGACUUUUGGUUUGGAGGAUGUUUGCCAGCAACUAAAACCUUACUGUAGCGCACUUGUACAACCACCCCGAAGCAACAGAGCUAGAGGCGGUUUGUGACAUUUGUCUCUAGCAUCACUACAUCUGUGAAUGAUUAUUUGAAGACCAAUUGUUGUAAAAACAUAGUUUGGUAUAAAUAAAAUAACCCAGAAAUUUGAA